GACGAACGCUGGCGGCGUGCUUAACACAUGCAAGUCGAACGGUAAGGCCCUUCGGGGUACACGAGUGGCGAACGGGUGAGUAACACGUGGGUGGUCUGCCCUGCACUUCGGGAUAAGCCUGGGAAACUGGGUCUAAUACCGGAUAGGACUCCGGACUGCAUGGUCUGGGGUGGAAAGCUUUUGCGGUGUGGGAUGGGCCCGCGGCGUAUCAGCUUGUUGGUGGGGUGAUGGCUUACCAAGGCGACGACGGGUAGCCGGCCUGAGAGGGUGACCGGCCACACUGGGACUGAGAUACGGCCCAGACUCCUACGGGAGGCAGCAGUGGGGAAUAUUGCACAAUGGGCGCAAGCCUGAUGCAGCGACGCCGCGUGAGGGAUGACGGCCUUCGGGUUGUAAACCUCUUUCAGCACAGACGAAGCGCAAGUGACGGUAUGUGCAGAAGAAGGACCGGCCAACUACGUGCCAGCAGCCGCCGUAA
rnacentral:rRNA from 1 species